AUUUUAGAAGCUUUUGAAGCGUUAGAUUUUUGCUCUAAAGAAGGGAUUUUCCCCUGAAGUG
rnacentral:tRNA from 1 species